rnacentral:misc_RNA from 1 species
GGUGGUUUUCAGGGACCGGUUGGUCCUUUAGCCAUUUUAGACCGAAAAUUAGGCCAAGAAGAAGUAUGAUAUAUAUCAAUUCGUGCAAAUAACUUUUUCAUAUAACAUUCUGACAAUCCUGAAAAAAUUGAUUCGUCGAAAAAGGCAUACUGUGAUAAAAACUGUCCGAAAGUUGUAAGAAAGACUGCUAUUGGCAAUCAUUAUUCCUGUGUUAUAUCUCAACAACGACGUGUUUUCAAUUAUCUGGUAACGAAACAUUCGGACCACCCGCUGUGAAGACAGGAACUGCCAGCGUCACUUCCGGACACCUCAAGGUCACAAGGUUGCGCAUCUUUUUCUUAUGUUCUUAUUCACGUCUCGUUUCUUGACCGCGGAGAUUAUUGAUAUUUUUGUAGGAUUUUAUACGAUGAAAAUGUCUUUUAUGAAUAUAUGUGCAAUUCUGUUAGCCAUUGUUGAAAAAUGUAAACUAAAUGAAUGCACCAUUGUCUUUCAUGACCUAAUUAAGAUUUUGUGACCUACAUGUAAAAGAGGAUAUUUUAAGUUUGGACUCAGCCAACGUGGCUCUGUUAACGAACAUUGUAUAUAAUUUGCUAUUAUUUACAUAGAAUCAAUAUUCGAAGGAAUAUCAGCAUGUGUCUGAAACUAGAAAAAUUUGUAUGUAUGUUUAGCCAUGACACUGUAGUUAAUAUUAAUUUAAUUGUAUGAGAUGAUAUUUAAUCAUAAUUAAAAUAUCAGACAAUUUGGUUAUAUAUUUGAAUUAGUUUGAAUUGGUUGUUUGCUAUUUAAAGUUGUUAUGUUUUAUCAAGAACAUUUACUAAUAAAUUAUUUCACGAC